ACAGUAUUGAUAUGUGGGUGACAGAUUUUAAAUUCAUGUACCCGUAAUCCAAUGCUGCAA
rnacentral:pre_miRNA from 1 species